ACACCCCACCAGAAGGGACUGCAGCCCGGGGUCCCAAGCCCCAUCACCCAAGACUGAAGCCAAAGCAUGAGCAACUUAGCUUUGUGGUGCCUCCGGUGACAUGGGGCUCCGGGCAAUUGCCCUG